rnacentral:rRNA from 1 species
UCCAGACUCCUACGGGAGGCAGCAGUGGGGAAUAUUGCACAAUGGGGGGAACCCUGAUGCAGCGACGCCGCGUGGGUGAAGGAGUAUUUCGGUAUGUAAAGCCCUCUCAGCAGGGAAGAACAAUGACGGUACCUGACUAAGAAGCACCGGCUAAAUACGUGCCAGCAGCCGCGGUAAUACGUAUGGUGCAAGCGUUAUCCGGAUUUACUGGGUGUAAAGGGAGCGCAGGCGGCGCGUUAAGCCUGGUGUGAAAGCCCGCGGCCCAACCGCGGGACUGCAUUGGGAACUGGCGCGCUGGAGUGCCGGAGGGGUAGGCGGAAUUCCUAGUGUAGCGGUGAAAUGCGUAGAUAUUAGGAGGAGCACCAGUGGCGAAGGCGACUUUCUGGACUGUACCUGACGCUGAGGCGCGAAAGCGUGGGUAGCGAACGGGAUUAGAUACCCCAGUA